UGGGAGAUGAUGCUUCCCUCCGGCAGGACCCCCUCGUUCCGCGCUAGGCUGGCGAGGGGCGAGGGGCGAGCGGCGCGGUUAAUUCCUCUCCGGUGGUUGUGUCCGGCCAAGCGUGCGAGUCUCCGAGCGUUUCGGGCAGGGCCGGCGAGCGGCGUUCCGGGCAGGGCCAGCGAGCGGCGCUUCUGAUUCGUCUCCGGCCAACAGUGCCGGUCCUCCGAGCAUUCCCCAUCGAUGUCAUACUAGAUCUAAUCCCAAGAUUGGGCUAGGUUUGCCAAGCAAACAGAGGAGGGGACAAGGACGUGGCUCAUUGGGCUGUCUCCUCCAAGAUCAGCACAUCAUUUGAAGGAAGUAGGAGAGGAAACGAGGUAGUGGCAUCUUGCCUACAGCUGCUGAUUUCCCCUGAGUCGUACUGUCCAGAUUUUGGUCUUGAAGAAAUUGCGAGGUUUGCUGGUGGCAGUAAAGAUCUAUGCAGAUUCCAACCAAAAAAAAAGACUGUUGUUGUGUACUCGAGUUGUGUGCUCAAUGUUUGAUGUAUAAGUGUGAGAUUUACUAUGGCUGUUCAGUUAGUGAUGUGUCUAUCUUGUAACAAAAUUCCCUAGCAUAAUGCGGUUGGAACAUUUGCCUUAACUAAUGUAUGUGUUGUUGAAGC